AUGAUAACUACUGCGUUUCUAAACCAUAAUAAAGUUCUAUCGAGGAUACUAUCAAAAUUGAGGGAAAUGAUCAAGUUUGGGUGCAUUCAGUAGAUUUUAAUUUGGAGUUAAAAGAAAGGCUUUCCAAACGUAUAAUAGAUAUACGAUUGCCAUGGGACCAUUCAUUAGCAAGUCUUUCCAUUCGUGGAAUGAUUUGAUGAUAAUGGGUACAUCUCUAAACCUCGAUGAAGUUCCAUUGGGUAUGCUACCAAAAUGAAAAGGGAAUCGAUUAAUUUUGGAUACAUUCAGUAGAUUGUAAUUUGGUCUUAGAUAAAGUUAUUUCAAACGUGGAAUAGAUGAUAACUAGUGCCAUCGAGGAUGCUACCAAAAUUGAGGGAAAUGAUUAAAUUUGGGUGCAUUCAGUAGAUUUUAAUUAGGACUUAAAAAAAGGCUUUCCAAAUUUGGAAUAGAUGUACGAUUGCCAUGGGACCAUUGAUGAGCAAGAUUUUCCAGUCGUGGAAUGAUUCGAUGACGACGAGUGCGUUUCUAAACCUUGAUGGAGUUCCACAAUGGAGAGGAAUGGCCAAAUUGUGUAGUGUUCCAUUCAAACUGACAUUCCUUGGGCGU